rnacentral:tRNA from 1 species
GCCGGGAUCGCAUAAUAUGGUAUUGCACUGGAUUGCUAAUCCAGGCCCUUCGGGGCGUCUGGGUUCAAAUCCCAGUCCCGGCG